CUUUAUUGGAGAGUUUGAUCCUGGCUCAGGACGAACGCUGGCGGCGUGCCUAAUACAUGCAAGUCGAGCGAAUGGAUGGGAGCUUGCUCCCUGAAGUUAGCGGCGGACGGGUGAGUAACACGUGGGUAACCUGCCUGUAAGAUUGGGAUAACUCCGGGAAACCGGAGCUAAUACCGGAUAAUAUUUUGAACCGCAUGGUUCAAAAUUGAAAGAUGGUUUCGGCUAUCACUUACAGAUGGACCCGCGGCGCAUUAGCUAGUUGGUGAGGUAACGGCUC
rnacentral:rRNA from 1 species